UUGGUUUUAUUAACAGCUUGUCUGGCCAUGACGGUUGUUACACUACAAUUAGGUGAGAAGAGCCCUGACGGACUGUGUCUAUCUCAGUCUUUAUGAUAUAGUGUAUACAUCAUAAUGUAUUUACAAGGACUAGGGUAUUCCAGUAUGAAAAGACUGACGCAUAUAUGACGUUGUUGUCGGAGCUUAUAGAUGGCGAUCUGUAAUCCUUGGGAAUCAUUCUGUAUGACAAAUACAUACGAUAUCAAAGUAAAUGGGUGCUAAACCAGGGAAAGAAAAGGAGCUGUGCAUCGAUGUGAAUGUUAAUAGUUCACACAAAGAGGGAGAAACGCGCAUCGAGAACAAGGGCAAUGUUGGUAACAUAGCCACUGGUGACAACCACUCUGGCCAUAUGACCGCCUCAGUCGGGGAGCAGCCAGGGAAGAGUCCAAAGCAAUAGAAAGUUUUUGUAGAUUCUGGUUCCAACUUGGUGUUAAGGUAAAGCACAGUCACGCCCCCAAAGACGAUAAUGGCAUCAAGUGCAAGCGUACAUAGAGUCUACAUAUGGUUGCCAAGACAGAAUUUUCAGAUAGGUGGUCAUGUGUCUCUGCUUCUCAACGAUGGGACAUACAUAAGUUGGUGGCCACGUCAUGGGAAAGACUUUAAAAAAGCAAAGGUUUUCACUCUGCAUGGCAUUGAGCCAUCGAAUGGUGCAAGUUUGGAAGAGGACAUACAAUCCAUGGAGUACACUUAUAAUCAUGAAUUUGAAAUACCUUCAGAAAGAUUGGAUCUGCAGAGAAUGAAAGAUUUCUGGGAAUCUGUCCUUACAACUCGUAACUUUGACCCAAAGAAGGAGAACUGCUGCUGGGUUGUGUACAACGUACUACUUGCUGGAGGCGCCCCUCCAGCAUCAGUGUGGUCACCAUGGCGACCAGGGAUGAUACGACGAUACAUGGUCAACUUUGUGGGAGACGGUUCUCCGAUAUUUCGACUUAUUGGGAACUUCCUUCCUUUCUAAGGCGAUGUUAAGUUGUCGAAUUAUUAUUGCGAUAGAUUGUUUUAUGUUGACUCUUAAAAUGGUUAUAAAAAGCUGCUCUGGAUCUGUGGCGAGGUACGUUCUUUUCAAUUAACAAACUUGAAGUUAUGAUGUAUUGUAGCAUGUCUAAAAGUAUGUUCACUUGCGUAUAAGUAUGUAAACAACGUUAAUGCGCCGUACACAGGGCUAAAACUGGAUUUCAGCAACCCCUGCUAGUCUUCGGAGGCGACUAACGGGACCGCGGACAUGGCUGGUGCAUAACAUGAUAUUCCAGUUGCCUAGAUCGAUGCUCGUGAUGAUCAGUGGUUUGUCCGGUCCAGACUCGCUAUUUGAGGGAAAUGAGAGCACGCAUGACCCAGUAAUCUAAGGAGUCACAAUUUGCUCUGGAGAUACACGUUCCCGAAGACUUAGCAGAACAUAUCGAUCGUGGGUUCGAAUCACAGUUCACCCUGAUUAUGGUACCGUUGUAGGUUUGUCAGCAAUAUUCUCAUGCUCGUGGGUUUCCACAAUAUGGAAAAGGUCCUACACGCCGUACAUGAAAUUAGAGCUGCGUUGAACCAAACCCACUCACUCGUUGAGGUGAAUCCAUUUAGUUAUGUUUCCUAUCAUAUGAGAUGUGUUUGAUUUCAGUUUCAGAUAAUACAUAGUAAUACAUAUGUAACUGAACGGUUGGAAUUGAAACUUUGAGGCCAAAGGUUUCAAGGAUGGUUGAAGCUUACAGCGAAUAUUUUUAAGUAGAUUUAAGAAAGCCUAGAGAGUCGAAAAUACACAAGUAGCAGGAGUAGAAAUUGUCAUUUCCAUUUUGACAUUAUUAAUCAUGUUUAUCAUGUCGGGUGCUUUCAUACAUCAUCUAUGCCGAGAUCUUAAGAAAAUCUUAAAGAAAAACAUAAAUAUAUCUUGUCAACAAAUGUUUUCCGAAAUGUUUCUGUUUAUUAAUCCAAUCAAUAGGAUAAAUCAUCUCUGUUAAAAUAAUUAAAGCCGAGGAAAUUACAGCAGUUAUAAAGGCUUCCGUUAGAAAUAUGUGUGCUUCAUAGUUGUUGAAACAACAUACAUGUAGAUAUAGGCGAAAAUAUUACUCACUUAGCAUUAAAGAAAAUACAAGUAGUCCGUUGGUUUCUUGAUGGCGUGACAUGAACGAACUCUUGCUGAUAAUGGAAGAUGACGCUAUUGUUAAUGACGUCAUGACGAUUUUGUCCGUAAGGAAACACAUACUCAUUUUGUCAAUUUUUUUUUCAGAAAAAGACUAUAUUGGUAUUGUAUAGAACAACGAUUAAGGCUCAGAGUUUACCAAUUUAAUUGACUCGGGACAGAUAAUUCGCAUUCCUUCGGUGCUUGUAGGAGGUUCUCUAAUUCUGUCAUAUUCAUGUUGUUACAUGUAUAAGUGUUCAGAGACUUCCUUUUUUAUCCUGGUAAUAUGUUUCUUCUUUUCCGGCGAGAUACUGAAGCAAGUAUCAUGUUUGUUUCAAGGAGAAAAAAUCGUUAUUAAAUAAAACGCCAACUUCAUCUUUUGUCUUUGAGAGAGUGUAUUCAAAGAGAAAUAACAAUGCUCAAAAACUUCUGUUCGGCCGUGUGUGCCUUUAUUGUCAUUUUUUCUAAAAUUUGUAGUGAUUUGCUUCUAUAUGAGAGUAAAAAGUUGCAACAAAA